CAAUCAUAUUUAUUUAUAACACUCAAAUUCGAUGAAACACAUAUAAUAUCUAAUAAAAUUUAUCAACACGAUAUAAUAUUUGAUAAUAAUAUAAAAUUCAACGAGACACGCUAUUUCCGUAAAAUACAUAAGUAAUAAAAAAAUAAUAUUUAAUCUUAUAAUUACGUAAAUUUAUUGAUCUAAUAGUAUUAUUGUAGAG
rnacentral:lncRNA from 1 species